GCGUUAAUCGGAAUUACUGGGCGUAAAGCGUGCGCAGGCGGUUUUGUAAGUCUGUCGUGAAAUCCCCCGGGCUCAACCUGGGAAUUGCGAUGGAGACUGCAAGGCUAGAAUCUGGCAGAGGGGGGGUAGAAUUCCACGUGUAGCAGUGAAAUGCGUAGAGAUGUGGAGGAACACCGAUGGCGAAGGCAGCCCCCUGGGUCAAGAUUGACGCUCAUGCACGAAAGCGUGGGGAGCAACAGG
rnacentral:rRNA from 1 species